UGGGGAAUAUUGGACAAUGGGCGGAAGCCUGAUCCAGCAACGCCGCGUGAGGGAUGACGGCCUUCGGGUUGUAAACCUCUUUCAGUACCGACGAAGCGAAAGUGACGGUAGGUACAGAAGAAGGACCGGCCAACUACGUGCCAGCAGCCGCGGUAAUACGUAGGGUCCGAGCGUUGUCCGGAAUUAUUGGGCGUAAAGGGCUCGUAGGCGGUUUGUCGCGUCGGGAGUGAAAACAGCGGGCUUAACUCGUUGCUUGCUUUCGAUACGGGCAGACUAGAGGUAUGCAGGGGAGAAUGGAAUUCCUGGUGUAGCGGUGAAAUGCGCAGAUAUCAGGAGGAACACCGGUGGCGAAGGCGGUUCUCUGGGCAUUACCUGACGCUGAGGAGCGAAAGUGUGGGGAGCGAACAGGAUUAGAUACCCUGAUAGUCCACACCGUAAACGUUGGGGCGCUAGGUGUGGGGUCCUUUCCACGGAUUCCGUGCCGUAGCUAACGCAUUUAAGCGCCCCCGCCUGGGGGAGUACGGCCGCAAGGCUAAAACUCAAAGGAAAUUGACGGGGGUCAUAGCUG
rnacentral:rRNA from 1 species